AGAGCGAACGCUGGCGGCAGGCCUAACACAUGCAAGUCGAACGGACUCUUCGGAGUUAGUGGCGGACGGGUGAGUAACACGUGGGAACGUGCCUUUAGGUUCGGAAUAGCUCCUGGAAACGGGUGGUAAUACCGAAUGUGCCCUUCGGGGGAAAGAUUUAUCGCCUUUAGAGCGGCCCGCGUCUGAUUAGCUUGUUGGUGAGGUAAUGGCUCACCAAGCCGACGACGGGUAGCUGGUCUGAGAGGACGACCAGCCACACUGGGACUGAGACACGGCCCAGACUCCUACGGAGGCAGCAGUGGGGAAUAUUGGACAAGU
rnacentral:rRNA from 1 species